GGGCAAGUCUCAUACGACCAGCUCCUGUUGAAUCCCCCAGGAUGGGAACAUAGCAAGGGUAAAUGGUUGAGCGGUGCGAUAUGAGUAGCUUGCCCUUU
rnacentral:SRP_RNA from 1 species